GAUGAACGCUGGCGGCGUGCUUAACACAUGCAAGUCGAGCGAGAAGUUUUGAAAAGAUUCUUCGGAUGAAAUUUAAAAUGGAAAGCGGCGGACGGGUGAGUAACGCGUAGGCAACCUGCCCCAUACAAAGGGAUAGCAUUUGGAAACGAAAAUUAAUACCUUAUGAAACUUAACUAGUGCAUGCUAGGUAGGUCAAAGAUUUAUCGGUAUGGGAUGGGCCUGCGUCUGAUUAGCUAGUUGGUGAGGUAACGGCUCACCAAGGCGACGAUCAGUAGCCGACCUGGGAGGGUGACCGGCUACGUUCGAACUGAGGCACGGUCCAAACUCCUACGGGAGGCAGCAGUGGGGUAGAUUGCACAAUGGGGGCCACCCUGAUGCAGCAACGCCGCGUGAACGAUGCAGGCCUUUUGGUCGUAAAGUUCUGUUCUAGGUGAUGAAAACUGACAGUAACCUAUGAGAAAGCCCCGGCUAACUCCGUG
rnacentral:rRNA from 1 species